rnacentral:lncRNA from 1 species
CUCGCCGACCACCAACAAUCUCCAACCGCUCGCAGCUCCUCAUCGGGGCAUCGGAGCCCCUCCUCCGAACAUGCCCGAACCACCUCAGCCUCACUUCCCGCAUCUUUUCGUCCACCGGGGCCACCCCUACCUUCUGACGAAUAACUUCAUUCUUGANNNNNNNNCUUAUCCAGCCUGGUGUGCCCACACAUCCACCUAAGCAUCCUCAUCUCCGCAACCUUCAUUCUCUGAACAUGCGAGUUUUUCACGGGCCAGCACUCCCCCCAUACAACAUUGCAGGUCUAACCACGGCUCUGUAGAAUUUUCCCUUUAGUUUUUGCGGGAUUUUCUUGUCACACAGGACCCCUGAAGCAAGCCUCCACUUUGACCACCCCGC